rnacentral:rRNA from 1 species
UACGUAGGUGGCUAGCGUUGUCCGGAUUUACUGGGCGUAAAGAGCGCGCAGGCGGUCGUUCAAGUCGAGUGUGAAAGCCCCCGGCUCAACUGGGGAGGGUCACUCGAUACUGAUCGACUCGAAGGCAGGAGAGGGAAGCGGAAUUCCCGGUGUAGUGGUGAAAUGCGUAGAUAUCGGGGAGGAACACCAGUGGCGAAGGCGGCUUUCUGGCCUGUUCUUGACGCUGAGGCGCGAAAGCUAGGGUAGCAAACGGG